ACUGCUUGUUGUUUCAGAAUAAUAAUAAUUAAUGUGCAAAUCACGACAUUAAGAACAUCUGCUGUUUCUGCUUUUGACCUCCCGGCCUUGGAAAGAACCCGUUCACCUGGAACACUUGUUGCUGGUGAACGUGAUCACAUGAUCAUAUCCAGGUGUGGACCUGCGGCACGGUGCUCCUGUUAAAUAAAUCAGAUGUUUGGCGUCCCGAGGCCUCCGACCACGGAGCAGGAUCCGAGCUCAGCGAGGUCACUUGACGGUGGUUCCUUCUUACCGGGUACAUCACCAUGGUCCCCGAUGCUGAGCGGCUCACCUGGAGCAGCCUGUCGCAGCGCUGGUCAGGUCACAGAGGCUGGUCACCGGCGGCAACCGGCGGCUACCUGCAGCUACCUGUGCAGGGGACAUCACGGCGACGUCACGGCAACAUCACUGCGUCGUCACAGUGACGUCACGGCGACAUCACUGAAGCAGUGGGAAGAUGAAGGAGACGUUUAACAGAACAAACGUUCAGCAGAACCAUCGGGCCGUUUCUCUUCGACUCUUUAUUACAGACACACCUGAGGUUUCCAUGACAACAACGUGAGCAGAGUGACAUCACAGGGAGUUCACACUCGUGGUGAUGUCACCAUUACUGAGUUCACUUUUAACGGGGUCACAGCUCGCUCUGGUCUCUUGCUCAGUCCUCCAACACUAUUCAAGGAUUAAAGAGUCCUGAACCCCGGUCCGGAGCCGGGACCUGUAGAACCCCGGUCCAGAACAGUCCAGGAACAGCGAUGCAGUUCAGUCCAGACCGGUUCAGAUCAGACCACCCUGUACAGGUGGAUCUGCCGGAGAGCGUCAGGGUCCGUGUCUCUGCCCAGGUAAACAUCGUAGUCCACAGGAAGUUCCUCCACCCAGCCGGGCUGCAGCGCCUCCUGCUGGACACAAACAGGAAGUGAUGCACGUGUGUGUGUGUGUGUGUGUGUGUGUGUGUGUGUGUGUGUGUGUGUGUGUGUGUGUGUGUGUGUGUGUGUGUGUGUGUGUGUGUGUUUUACCUGCAGAGGGCUCAGACUCUCCAUUAGACUGGGAACGGUGACCAGCAGAGAUCCUUUCUUCCUGAAGUUCUCCAUGAUGAACCUCCACGCUCUGAACACACACACACACACACACACACACACACACACACACACACACACGCACGCACGCAUCACUUCCUGUGUGUGUUUAAAGAGCUGAAGUGAAACCAGGAUAUUUUCCACGAGUUAGAAACUUCAUCCACAACCUCACUGACAUUUCUAACGACUGUAGAACCUGAACAGGACAGAACGUCUUCAGAUCAUCAAACAUUUAUUAUAUGGAUCUGAACAAACAAAGAUGGCGUCCGUUUCUAUGGCAGCUGUAGUUCUGUUCGAGUCAUAAAGGUUUCAGUUUCUGAUCUGCAGCUGCUGAAGAGUUUCAGAAUAAAACUUCCUCACUUCAUGUUUUCAGACUGAGGAACAGAGGCUACACAGGAAGUGAUGUCAUGACCAGCUCUCAACAGAGAGCCUAAGCCCCGCCCCUUCCAGCGGACCACAUGGGGAUAAAAUAUGUACGGUGGUCAACGGCGAGAGACGACUGAAGUUCUGACGCCGUUUGAAUUUUAUCAAACAUGAACAUGUUUUCAGAUUCAGAUGUUUUUAUUUUCUGAUUGUUUAUGAACCAAAUUAUUUUGUUUAGAUUUCUUUAAGACUUCGACUGGUUCCGUUAUUAAUAUACAGGAUCUCACAGGAGUGAGUACACCCUGUAGGUACCCAAUCCGUGCUGCCUGCCGGAUCCCUAUCUGUCUGAAGGACGUUUCCACAAAAGUGCCUGUUCAUAAUUACUCCUGUGUUGCUGUCUGUUCUCAUCUCAGGGUGUCAAAUACGCUUACAGAAAGGCUGACAAAGCGUUAUUUGAUGACGUGGCAGAUUGUGAUUGGCUGUACGUCGGAGUGCUUAUAGAUAUAGUUUUAACGGGUCCUCGGAUCAACUACGGAGACCCCAGAGCCGUUAAAUAAUCUGGGAGAACUUAUACAAUGAAAUGCAGCUCUACUUAUUAAACAGGACCUAACACAGCCUGGCAUUAGCUAUGUAUUAAUGUUACAACGCUAAUGUUAGCUGCCGAUCAAGUUAAGCUAACGGUAGCUAAUUUAAUUGUGCCCCAGUUAUAAAUGUAGAUAUCAGAUCUGCUCAGGGUCUUUAUUAAAUAUUUUUUCUUUUAUUUCACAUUUACU